rnacentral:rRNA from 1 species
UUAGCGGCGGACGGGUGAGUAACACGUGGGUAACCUACCUAUAAGACUGGGAUAACUCCGGGAAACCGGAGCUAAUACCGGAUAACAUUUGGAACCGCAUGGUUCUAAAGUGAAAGAUGGUUUUGCUAUCACUUAUAGAUGGACCCGCGCCGUAUUAGCUAGUUGGUAAGGUAACGGCUUACCAAGGCAACGAUGCAUAGCCGACCUGAGAGGGUGAUCGGCCACACUGGAACUGAGACACGGUCCAG